GACGAACGCUGGCGGCGUGCCUAACACAUGCAAGUUCAACGAGAAAGCAUCCUUCGGGGUGCGAGUACAGUGGCGAACGGGUGAGUAAUGCAUCGGAACGUGCCCAGUAGUGGGGGAUAACCAGUCGAAAGAUUGGCUAAUACCGCAUACGACCUACGGGUGAAAGCGGGGGACCGUAAGGCCUCGCGCUAUUGGAGCGGCCGAUGUCUGAUUAGCUAGUUGGCGGGGUAAGAGCCCACCAAGGCGACGAUCAGUAGCUGGUCUGAGAGGACGACCAGCCACACUGGGACUGAGACACGGCCCAGACUCCUACGGGAGGCAG
rnacentral:rRNA from 1 species